rnacentral:Y_RNA from 1 species
GGUCCGAAGGUAGUGAGUUAUCUCGAUUGUUCACUGUCAGUUACAGAUUGAUCUCCUUGUUCUACUCUUUCCCCCAUUCUCAUUACUGCACUUGACAAAACAAAU